GUUUUCACCUUAUUGCUCAAAUUUAAACUCAAAAUCAAGAUUGAGGAGAUAAUCAAUUAAAUUGUCUCACAUUCUUUUUCUAAAUCUGUUGUUUUUCGAUUCAAUAUCUAAUCUAAUCAAUCUUGUGCUUCCUUCGAUUACAGAUUUUGUUGUGGCGAGAGGAUGAACAAUCAUAGUAGAAGCAACAGGAACACAGGCACUGGUCCACCCACUCAAUCGGUCCUUAAUAGUAUGUUGAAGCCUUGAGAUUCUUCUUUCAUGACUAUGUUGGUUCAUAACUUAUGCCUUAAAAGUGGACCCAACCUAGGUUCUAAAGCAUCAAAGAUUCGUAUUCUAUGUGAUUUUAAACAGCCUGACCCCGCCUGGUAAGCACAGCAUUUGGGUGAGGGGUCGGGUUGGGUGAGGCCAAAGCACUACUUUGUUGUUGUUGUUGUUGUUGUUGUUUUUACAAAAUUAACAUAAUAAUUAGGAUGGUUCGAUAUGUGUGGGGGGGGGGUCAAUGAGGGUGCUGGCGCUGAUGAAAGAUCUAUCUUAGUGAGGACAAUGGUAGAAAGCAAAGCAAGCAAAAAUGUGCUUCGCGAAUUUUACCUACUUGGUAAGAUGCUAAUUUACGUGCCACUGAAUUCGCUGACGACAACGUAGUUGCGACACCUGGCAUUCAAAUGGUUGAAGUGACUGCACCUGCAUCAACUAAAAUUACACUGAAGUUGUUGCAGCAAUUUCUUUAUUUUGUGAACAUCUUGCAGCGUUAAUACGAACAACGAAGGUUAUCAAAGGAACAAAUGAAGAACUACAAAAACCUUCAGAAGAUGGAAAUGCUUUGGUCUAUCCUUUUGCGGUUGUAAUGAACAAGGAGUUUGAUCGUCACGUUCGACUUUAUAGCAAAGGUUUUGCUAAAAGAUGAUGAAAAUAUGGAUGGUGGUGAGGAAGCAUACACGAUUCUAGGUGGGAUUUUAUCAUGGCGGAGAGGAACCAUACAUGAUGGUUACAUUCGACUUAUAUCAUUGAAACACCAAAGCGCCAACCAGCAAAAUUUGAAGCUAUGAUGUAGAGUAUUAUUGAAAAGCUAUUUGUUGACUAGUUUAGGAUCUUAGAUGCCAAUGAGGUUUUCGUUACCUUUUAUCAUUGUAAUU
rnacentral:lncRNA from 1 species